AUUGAACGCUGGCGGCAUGCUUUACACAUGCAAGUCGAACGGCAGCGCGGGCUUCGGCCUGGCGGCGAGUGGCGAGCGGGUGAGUAAUACAUCGGAACGUGCCCAGUAGUGGGGGAUAGCUCGGCGAAAGCCGGAUUAAUACCGCAUACGACCUGAGGGUGAAAGCGGGGGAUCUUCGGACCUCGCGCUAUUGGAGCGGCCGAUGGCAGAUUAGCUAGUUGGUGGGGUAAAGGCCUACCAAGGCGACGAUCUGUAGCUGGUCUGAGAGGACGACCAGCCACACUGGGACUGAGACACGGCCCAGACUCCUACGGGAGGCAGCAGUGGGGAAUUUUGGACAAAGGGCGAAAGCCUGAUCCAGCAAUGCCGCGUGUGUGAUGAAGGCCUUCGGGUUGUAAAGCACUUUUGGCGGGAACGAAAAGGACUGUGCCAAUACCACGGUUCGAUGACGGUACCCGCAGAAUAAGCACCGGCUAACUACGUG
rnacentral:rRNA from 1 species